rnacentral:rRNA from 1 species
CAGUCGCCGCGGGAAUACGGAGGGUGCAAGCGUUAAUCGGAAUUACUGGGCGUAAAGCGCACGCAGGCGGUCUGACAAGUCAGAUGUGAAAUCCCCGGGCUUAACCUGGAAACUGCAUUUGAAACUGUCAGGCUGGAGUCUUGUAGAGGGGGGUAGAAUUCCAGGUGUAGCGGUGAAAUGCGUAGAGAUCUGGAGGAAUACCGGUGGCGAAGGCGGCCCCCUGGACAAAGACUGACGCUCAGGUGCGAAAGCGUGGGGAGCAAACAGGAUUAGAUACCCCAGUAGUCCCUGUCUCUUAUAA